ACCACGCUACAACCGCACAAAGCAGGAAUUAAGCAAUGGCAACAUUCUCCUGUGCUGGCGAGUCUUAGUAUAUGA
rfam:Listeria grayi DSM 20601 genomic scaffold SCAFFOLD1, whole genome shotgun sequence.